rnacentral:snoRNA from 1 species
UCUUAUGAUGAUCGUUUUCUAUGCUUCGGCAUAGCUGGAAAUUACCGGCUGAGACACUAGUCUUUGACGAAAAACAACUGGCUGUUUCUGAUA